rnacentral:rRNA from 1 species
AGCGAACGCUGGCGGCAGGCUUAACACAUGCAAGUCGAGCGGCCGUAGCAAUACGGCAGCGGCAGACGGGAGAGUAACACGUGGGAACGUACCCUUCAGUUCGGAACAACCAAGGGAAACUUUGGCUAAUACCGAAUACGUCCGUAAGGAGAAAGAUUUAUCGCUGAAGGAUCGGCCCGCGUCUGAUUAGCUAGUUGGUGAGGUAACGGCUCACCAAGGCGACGAUCAGUAGCUGGUCUGAGAGGAUGAUCAGCCUCACUGGGACUGAGACACGGCCCAGACUCCUACGGGAGGCAGCAGUGGGGAAUAUUGGACAAUGGGCGCAAGCCUGAUCCAGCCAUGCCGCGUGGAUGAUGAAGGCCUUAGGGUUGUAAAGUCCUUUUAACGGGGAAGAUAAUGACGGUACCCGUAGAAUAAGCCCCGGCUGACUUCGUGCCAGCCGCCGCCGUAAUAC